GUGAACGCUGGCGGUAGGCCUAACACAUGCAAGUCGAACGGCAGCACAGUAAGAGCUUGCUCUUACGGGUGGCGAGUGGCGGACGGGUGAGGAAUACAUCGGAAUCUACUUUUUCGUGGGGGAUAACGUAGGGAAACUUACGCUAAUACCGCAUACGACCUACGGGUGAAAGCAGGGGAUCUUCGGACCUUGCGCGAUUGAAUGAGCCGAUGUCGGAUUAGCUAGUUGGCGGGGUAAAGGCCCACCAAGGCGACGAUCCGUAGCUGGUCUGAGAGGAUGAUCAGCCAAACUGGAACUGAGACACGGUCCAGACUCCUACGGGAGGCAGCAGUGGGGAAUAUUGGACAAUGGGCGCAAGCCUGAUCCAGCCAUACCGCGUGGGUGAAGAAGGCCUUCGGGUUGUAAAGCCCUUUUGUUGGGAAAGAAAAGCAGCAGGUUAAUACCCCGCUGUUCUGACGGUACCCAAAGAAUAAGCACCGGCUAACUUCGUG
rnacentral:rRNA from 1 species